rnacentral:lncRNA from 1 species
UAGGGAGUUAAACUACUCUUCUCUACAAUAUACAUGAUAAGUGCAUGCAGAAUCUAAAAGUCACUAUUGGAAAGAAGUAGAUAUCUCAUCAGAUAUUUCUAGGACAUCAUCCUCUGACUUGCUACGAUUGUGGCUGCAGUAGCCCUCGUCCGAUCCCUGAGUUGAGAAAAAUCUCUGGCCAGAUGUCCUAACUCAUCACACUGAUAAUAUCUAUUCUUGCUCAAGUCUCUCAUUCUGGGCUUGGACUGCCCUUGUCGUGAUCUCCUGUCGCUCUGUUUGCCGCC